UACGUAGGGUGCAAGCGUUGUUCGGAUUUACUGGGCGUAAAGGGCGCGUAGGCGGCCAGCACAAGUCAGUUGUGAAAUCUCCGAGCUUAACUCGGAAAGGUCAACUGAUACUGUGCGGCUAGAGUGCGGAAGGGGCAACUGGAAUUCUUGGUGUAGCGGUGAAAUGCGUAGAUAUCAAGAGGAACACCUGCGGCGAAGGCGGGUUGCUGGGCUGACACUGACGCUGAGGCGCGAAAGCCAGGGGAGCGAACGGG
rnacentral:rRNA from 1 species